rnacentral:sRNA from 1 species
AAGAAAUUGUGUUUACAACGGUAUUAUUUUGUAUGAAACGAGAGCCUUUUCUUUCACUCAGAAUAAAACCAUACCUUUCUCCUAAUUUUUCUUACGAAGAUCAAAAUCAAGAAACGACGACGAAACACUCCACCACUAAGAUUCCGUUUACUAUCAUUGUCUCAUCUCUUUUUUUUUUGGCAAAAACAUUGUCUCAUCUCUAUUUUUUGUUUUUUGGGUGUUUUCUAUCAUUAUCUCCUCUCUGGUUUUGAAUCCUUGGAACCCAAGAAAACGAAACCCAAAUCCCAAUCUUCAUCACUCAAUCUCUUGUGGUAAGAAAUUUCUUGGGUUUGAAGAGUUCAUAUGUUUGUUUACUCAGUUUCGGUUCCGUUUGUGAAACACCCAAUUGCUUUCUUAUUUCCUUUCGCAGUUCAAAAUUAAAAUCAAGAUAUCGAGAA